AACGAACGCUGGCGGCGUGGAUAAGACAUGCAAGUCGAGCGGGAACUUUCGCUGUAGCAAUACAGUGAAAGUUCUAGCGGCGAACGGGUGCGUAACACGUGGACAAUCUGCCUUAAAGUGGGGGAUAGCUCGGCGAAAGCCGAAUUAAUACCGCAUGUGAUGAGAGACGACAUCGUCUUGAAAUCAAAGCCGGGGCAACCUGGCGCUUUUUGAGGAGUCCGCGGCCUAUCAGCUUGUUGGUGAGGUAACGGCUCACCAAGGCUAUGACGGGUAGCUGGUCUGAGAGGACGACCAGUCACACUGGAACUGAGACACGGUCCAGACACCUACGGGUGGCAGCAGUCGAGAAUUUUUG
rnacentral:rRNA from 1 species